UACGUAGGGUGCAAGCGUUGUCCGGAAUUAUUGGGCGUAAAGAGCUCGUAGGCGGUUUGUCGCGUCUGCUGUGAAAACUCGGGGCUUAACUCCGGGCCUGCAGUGGGUACGGGCAGACUAGAGUGCGGUAGGGGAGACUGGAAUUCCUGGUGUAGCGGUGAAAUGCGCAGAUAUCAGGAGGAACACCGGUGGCGAAGGCGGGUCUCUGGGCCAGUACUGACGCUGAGGAGCGAAAGCGUGGGGAGCAAACAGG
rnacentral:rRNA from 1 species